GUUAAAUCUUUCCCUCAAUAAUAAAUAAAAUAAAAUCCUCUCUGGCUCUUAUGGCACAAAGCAAAGGGCUUUCAUGAUGUGUCACACCUUUUUGCUUAAGCAGCAUCAAGUCAGAGUUCUCCUUGUUCUCUAUGACUAAGCAAAAGCACUGAGGUGCAUACUUGGCAUCAUUCCCCCGUUUCCCCUGGUGACAUCAAAUUGGCAAACAUUUAUUUCCGGUGAAGACUUAAACACUGAUGUGAAACAGAUAGUUUCUGGGCAUCUGCAGAAGUGAAGAUCAUUAGGUUGGGUUACCUCUUAUCUUCUUCUUCUUCUCCUUCUUCUUCUUCUCCUUUUCGUUUUCUUCUUCUUACGUUUCUGUUUCCUUCAAUGUAUAUAUAUUUCUUUCUUUUGCCUUUUUGUCUUUCAACUACCUGCAUGUUUGAGGUGUGAUGGAGUUGUGUGUCUAUGUUUGUUGGUGCAAGGGUUUUGUCUUGGAAAGAGGGCUCAAUUGAGAGGAAGGAGGGAAGAAGAAGAAGAAGGAGAAGAUUUUAUUUUUGUUCUUGUUUUUUUAAUUUUUGGUGGGGCUAGUGUGAAGGGUGUCCACUAAUUGGCGAUCCUUUGCAUGCCCAACCCACUUGCACGUGACCCAUGAUGCUGGGAUAUUAGGUUCGUGGUUAUCAACCUCUCUAUAAGUAGCAAUCCAUUUGGGAGCUUCACAACCUCGUGGUUGCGGCACUCCUUUCUAUGGAUGGAAAGGAGAAGGGAAAAAAAAAGCACACACACUCCCUCUAUAAGAAAGUGGCAAAAAGAAAAAAUGAAAAUAAAUAAAUAAAUAAAUAAAUAAAUAAAGGAAAGAAGGAAAGAAGGAAAGAAGGAAGAAGGAAAAUGCUAUUGUUUAUUUCAUAUGGAGAUAAACCAAAAUAAUUGAGUUCAUUAGUGGAGUGGAGUUGAACUUCAUGGUCCCCUUGGUCCAAACCUCCUUACAAUUUUUGCCUCAUGAAAACAUCCCCAUGUUUCGGCAUCAAGCUCUACACCAAGUUAUGUGUUUAUAUUUGCAAUUUCUUGUUAUUGGAUGCUUAUCUUUUGUUUUUUUGUUUUUUGUUUUUGUUUUUUUGAUAGUGUUUUGUUUUGUCACCACUUGUGAAUGUCCAAAUAUUGUUCAAUAAGAUUGCUAAAGAUAAAUCUCCUAUGAUUUGUGCUUUUAUUUCAUUGGAGAAGUUGUUGAUCUCAAGGAGCUCAAUGACAACUAGGUCAUGCCUCAGAUUAAACUUUGUUUGUGUUCUGAAUAGUUGUGGUUAGUUUCAUGCAAUGUUUUCUUUUAGAGUGAAAAGAAUUCAGCAUGCUUUACAAAGCACCCGAAAGAAAUAAAUGAAAUAAAUGUUUAGUUAAUUU